GUCCGGAUGCGUGGUCUCCUUCUGCUCGUCUCUCCCUCUGUGCCUCCCGUCUCAUCCCACUUCCCCGGUUCCCCCGCCUGCAUCUCCUCGCCUUGCCCUCAUCCGCUCGCCCGCCAUUGUUGCUCCUCAUCGCUCGCCGUUGUCGGUCCUCGUCUGCUCGUCACGCCCUCGUCCGCUUGUUUCCGUCAUGGCUCCUCGCGCUGUUGUUGUUCCGUUUGGGUAGGUCCUUCUUUGUGAGGUCCUCCUUUCCGACGUCUGGCUGCCCGAUCAACUGAUCUCCUCGCUCCCGGUUCGUGGAAGGCCUGCUGCAGUUUGGUUCACCUGACGCCCCACGCCUUGUCUUUCAUCUUGCCAAGAUCGAAGACCUGGCGAAUGGAUGAUAUCGACAUUGGUGUGGUCUGUGACGAGGGAUCCCCAGGUUCAACGUUGUCAAGGACAAGAACACCUGUACCCAAGGAAGAUGACUACCUGAUAGUAAUUCCUUAUGCCCACAUAUUUGACCUUAUGCUAAAAGCUUUAAAGUUGCCCCCUGCAAGUUACUAUCACAAGAUAUGUCUGGGCGGCAAGAAUCGUGUGACGGUUACUUUCAAUUCUUCCUCGCAAUUGGUUGAUGGUUUGCUUGUUCCGACCUCAAUAUCGGGUGCAAUUUUAGAUGGCUAUGAAGAUGCAGAAGACAGUGCUGCUAUCGCAGCUAUUAGGCACAUGGAAAAUGCAUAUGGCAGAGAAAUGAGAGACUACCACUACACUAAUGUCAAGAGGCUAGAAAAUCAACUCAAGCACCUGGUCAGAUAGUUAGUAGCAGCGAAUGAGACAAUCAAGAAGAUACGCAAAGGGUGGUACUACGCCGUCAGAUAUAUGAGUUCAUAUUCUACUCAAAUACAAAACACAACGACUGCUCGACACUUGAGUGGAUAGGAUAACACCAAAGGGGUUAUGAAAGCAGCACUUGCAAGCAUUGAAAAACUAACACGGAGGCUGCGCUAUAUUGGUACGAAGUUUGAACAGCGCCUGGAGACUACAAGAGAUAGCUUUUGGUAAACUUCGGUCGAUAUGCGCUCACCAGGAUGCUCCUAAGGUUACUAGAACAGCUACCUUUUGUUUCAUAUCAAGAAACUUGGUCUAUUUGUCAUUUUGGAGCACUCUAAGUAAGAUAUGUAUAGCCUGUAGCCUUCCAUUGCUGCCUCUUUGGUUAAAAGCAGUGUAUCAACUUUAAAUUCUGCUUAGACUGUUGUGUGGUGCACUUCUGAACUAAUAUAUGCUUUUGCCUUCAA